UCUCCUGGAAAAGGGUGGUAAUGCCGGAUGCUCCAGUUGAUCGCAUGGUCUUCUGGGAAAGCUUUCGCGGUAUGGGAUGGGGUCGCGUCCUAUCAGCUUGACGGCGGGGUAACGGCCCACCGUGGCUUCGACGGGUAGCCGGCCUGAGAGGGCGACCGGCCACAUUGGGACUGAGAUACGGCCCAGACUCCUACGGGAGGCAGCAGUGGGGAAUAUUGCACAAUGGGCGCAAGCCUGAUGCAGCGACGCCGCGUGAGGGAUGGAGGCCUUCGGGUUGUAAACCUCUUUUAUCGGGGAGCAAGCGAGAGUGAGUUUACCCGUUGAAUAAGCACCGGCUAACUACGUGCCAGCAGCCGCGGUAAUACGUAGGGUGCAAGCGUUAUCCGGAAUUAUUGGGCGUAAAGGGCUCGUAGGCGGUUCGUCGCGUCCGGUGUGAAAGUCCAUCGCUUAACGGUGGAUCCGCGCCGGGUACGGGCGGGCUUGAGUGCGGUAGGGGAGACUGGAAUUCCCGGUGUAACGGUGGAAUGUGUAGAUAUCGGGAAGAACACCA
rnacentral:rRNA from 2 species